GGGCUCAUAGCUCAGUUGGUUAGAGCGUUUCCUUGACAUGGAAAAGGUCGGUGGUUCGAGUCCACUUGAGCCCACCA
rnacentral:tRNA from 1 species